GCCGGGAUCGCCCAGCCAGGCAGGGCACAGGGUUGCUAACCCUGCGUCUCUUACGAGACUCGGGGGUUCAAAUCCCCCUCCCGGCG
rnacentral:tRNA from 1 species